rnacentral:rRNA from 1 species
UACGUAGGGGGCAAGCGUUGUCCGGAAUCAUUGGGCGUAAAGCGCGUGUAGGCGGCUUGGUAAGUCCGCUCUGAAAGCCCGGGGCUCAACCCCGGAGGCGGGUGGAUACUGUCAAGCUCGAGUCCGGAAGAGGCGAGUGGAAUUCCUGGUGUAGCGGUGAAAUGCGCAGAUAUCAGGAGGAACACCAAUGGCGAAGGCAGCUCGCUGGGACGUGACUGACGCUGAGACGCGAAAGCGUGGGGAGCAAACAGG